GUCCUUGUAGUGCAGUGGGUAGCGUAUUGGACUUUUAAUCUAAAAGUCGUGGGUUCGAAUCCCACCUGGGACG